GCGUCUGUAGCUCAGUUAAUUUAGAGCACCACCUUGACAUGGUGAGGUCGAUGGUUCGAAGUCCAUUCAGACGCG
rnacentral:tRNA from 1 species